ensembl:lncRNA
GACAGUGAGUCUGGAGAGGGUGUAGGAGACAGUGAGGCUGGAGAGGGUGUAGGAGACAGUGAGAAUGGAGACGGUGUAGGAGACAGUGAGGAUGGAGAGGGUGUAGGAGACAGUGAGGAUGGAGAGGGUGUAGGAGACAGUGAGACUGGAGAGGGUGUAGGAGACAGUGAGACUGGAGAGGGUGUAGGAGACAGUGAGGUUGGAGAGGGUAUAGGAGACAGUGAGGAUGGAGAGGGUGGGGGAGACAGUGAGGCUGGAGAGGGUGGAGGAGACAGUCAGGAUGGACAGGGUGUAGGAGACAGUGAGACUGGAGAGGGUGUAGGAGACAGUGAGGAUGGAGAGGGUGUAGGAGACAGUGAGGCUGGAGAGGGUGUAGGAGACAGUGAGGAUGGAGAGGGUGUAGGAGACAGUGGGGAUGGAGAGGGUGUAGGAGACAGUGAGGAUGGAGAGGGUGA